GUGAGUGAAGAAGGUUUUCGGAUACGUAAAGCUCUGUUGUAAGAGAAGAACGGGUGUGAGAGUGGAAAGUUCACACUGUGACGGUAUCUUACCAGAAAGGGACGGCUAACUACGUGCCAGCAGCCGCGGUAAUACGUAGGGUCCCCGAGCGUUGUCCGGAUUUAUUGGGCGUAAAGCGAGCGCAGGCGGUUAGAUAAGUCUGAAGUUAAAGGCUGUGGCUUAACCAUAGUAUGCUUUGGAAACUGUUUAACUUGAGUGCAGAAGGGGAGAGUGGAAUUCCAUGUGUAGCGGUGAAAUGCGUAGAUAUAUGGAGGAACACCGGUGGCGAAAGCGGCUCUCUGGUCUGUAACUGACGCUGAGGCUCGAAAGCGUGGGGAGCAAACAGGAUUAGAUACCCUGGUAGUCCACGCCGUAAACGAUGAGUGCUAGGUGUUAGGCCCUUUCCGGGGCUUAGUGCCGCAGCUAACGCAUUAAGCACUCCGCCUGGGGAGUACGACCGCAAGGUUGAAACU
rnacentral:rRNA from 1 species